AGACGGAGGCGUAACUUGUAGUAGGAGGCGUAACUUGUAGUAGGAGGCGUAACUUGUACUAGGAGGCGUAACUUGUUAUUUUCUAAAUCGCGGUCCACGCAAGAUCUUUCUCUUUUCGUGGCCAUGAGCGUGGAAGAGCCAGACCGCAAGGCUUUGAGCAGGUUUUGCGCCUGGGCACGGCAAUCCGGGGCAGAAAGUCAUCUACCAUUAUAGAAUGACUAUCAGAAAGCCCAGUUUAAAUGUAUUGUUUAUUAGUUGUGGUUAGCCUACUAAUCCCCCGUCUAUAGCCAGGAAGGCUUGCAGACACACCCUCAACAUAUUCCCAAACAUACCUUUUGGAUAUUUGAGCCUUUGUCUAUCUAAUUAUUUGACUUUAAGAUGAAAGCUGCUUUCUAAGGUGCUAGCUAUGCUUACAUUACUUUACGACCUGCCACAUUUGAGAUGCACACGUUUGAGAUGCACACUGAACAGUCACUUAAUACUCAGGCUAGUAGAUGUUGCUUGCUUCUUUCUGCCCCGAGUUUGCACAGUGCAACAGUGAUGACGUACCUGAGAAAUCCAUGUAUUGAAGACCGGCAAAUAUAUAUAAAAUGAAGGCUUGUAAUGUGAACGCUAUAAUAUGAAGGCUUUCUCAUAACUAUCCUCCUGUUAGUGGCAUUGUUCUUGUCUUGUUUCUAUCAGUAAUAUUUAGUUUAAUUCAUUGUUUUCUAUCUCAUGCAGGACCUUGAAAACAUGCAGCAAGCGAU
ensembl:lncRNA